GACGAACGCUGGCGGCGUGCUUAACACAUGCAAGUCGAACGGAAAGGCCCUGCUUUUGCUGGGUGCUCGUGUGGCGCACGGGUGAGUAACACGUGAGUAACCUGCCCUUGACUUUGUGAUAUCUUCUGGAGACUGGGGCUAAUACCGGAUAUGAUCUCCUGCUGCAUGUUGUUGGUUGGAAAGUUUCGGCGUUUGGGGAUGUACUCGCUGCUUAUCAGCUUGUUUGUGUGGUAGUUGCUUACCAAGGCUUUGACGGGUAGCCGGCCUGAGAGGGGUACCGGGGACAUGGGGACUGAGAGAGGGACCAGAAGCCAACGGGAGGCAGCAGUGGAGAGUAUGGCACAAUGAGCGGAAGCCUGAUGCAGAAACGCCGCGAGCGGGAUAACGGCCUUCGAGUGAAAAACAGAUGUGGAAUGUAACGAAGAGUGAGUGACGGUAAUGGGUAAGAAAGCAACGGCUAACUACGUG
rnacentral:rRNA from 1 species